UCCAGACUCCUACGGGAGGCAGCAGUGGGGGAUAUUGCACAAUGGGGGAAACCCUGAUGCAGCGACGCCGCGUGAGUGAAGAAGUAUUUCGGUAUGUAAAGCUCUAUCAGCAGGGAAGAAAAAAGACGGUACCUGACUAAGAAGCCCCGGCUAACUACGUGCCAGCAGCCGCGGUAAUACGUAGGGGGCAAGCGUUAUCCGGAUUUACUGGGUGUAAAGGGAGCGUAGACGGCAAUACAAGUCGGAAGUGAAAUACCCGGGCUCAACCUGGGAACUGCUUUGGAAACUGUAUGGCUGGAGUGCUGUAGAGGUAAGCGGAAUUCCUAGUGUAGCGGUGAAAUGCGUAGAUAUUAGGAGGAACACCAGUGGCGAAGGCGGCUUACUGGACAGUAACUGACGCUGAGGCUCGAAAGCGUGGGGAGCAAACAGGAUUAGAUACCCCGGUAU
rnacentral:rRNA from 1 species